rnacentral:pre_miRNA from 1 species
AUGUAUGGAAAUCUAUCUUUAAGCAGAGUAAAUUACUCUUAAAGAAAAAAAAUAAAAGGAAUCCUAGAUCAUUUCCCCUUCAAAUCAAGUGUCCUGU